UUGCCUACGGGGGGCAGCAGUAGGGAAUUUUCGUCAAUGGGCGCAAGCCUGAACGAGCAAUGCCGCGUGAACGAGGAAGGUCUUCGGAUCGUAAAACUCUGUUGGUAGAGAAGAACGUUGGUGAGAGUGGAAAGCUCAUCAAGUGACGGUAACUACCCAGAAAGGGACGGCUAACUACGUGCCAGCAGCCGCGGUAAUACGUAGGUCCCGAGCGUUGUCCGGAUUUAUUGGGCGUAAAGCGAGCGCAGGUGGUUUAUUAAGUCUGGUGUAAAAGGCAGUGGCUCAACCAUUGGAUGCAUUGGAAA
rnacentral:rRNA from 1 species